AUAGACGUUAAAUAAGCAGGGUGAUAGAAGUUAAAUAAGCAGGGUGACAAUAUACAGGCUUGGCGUACUCCUUUUCUGAUUCUGAUUGUAAAUGUUAAUCAUAUCCACAAACACCUUCACAGCAACAUCUAGGCUGGUGUUUGACCAAACAGCUGGGCACCGUAACCCAGCCAAGCUAACGUAUAAAACCAACCAUCACAAGGCUGGUGCAGAACCCACAGCUCCAAGGGCCUUCUCGACCCAUCAGAGCCACGUGGGGCUCCUGGGCCUGGAGAGCAGCUGUGCGGGGCCUGAUGGGAGCAGUACGCUGGCCUCCCUGAGGAUCGCCUGGGCAGCAUGGGGUGGGUUGGGGGAGGGUCUUCCUUCCCCUGCCCUGGCCGUGUGUCCGUCCCACAUGGGGUGGGGUCCCCCUGAGCACAUGCAGCAGGGGGCAAAGGUGGGCCCCCGGGCCCUGAUCCACGCCCAGGGAGCAGCCCACGACGGCAGCUGAACUCCUAGAAGGUGAUACAGCCCUCCCGCCUCCCCUGCUGACUGUUCCAGCAUCUGAGCGUAAAGACGUUCUCCAAAUAACCCGACGCCAUCCUCCGCCCUGAGACGCGCGUCCACACCGACAGCUGCCUUCAGCGUCUGUGGACUCGGGCCGUUCGCAGUUUGGGGCUGUUUCAGUGCUGCGGUCAGAAUGCUCCAGCCCGCGCCCUUCUUCACACGGAUGCACACACUCUGCUGCGUGUGUGCAACUGUGGGGUUUGGGGCAUACAGAUUUUUUUUUUUUCACUUUAGAUUAGAUUGCAGUGUUUGACCAUCGGCAGCUGUCACAGACCAGCACGGACUCUGACUUCUCCCCCACAGUGGGCAGGUGCAGCCUCGCUGAGCUGGCUCUGAGGGGUCCCCCUGGACACGGGGCUGGCCUCUCCCUCCUUGCCCCCCACCCCGACCCUCUGCUCUUUGUAUCUGUGGCCAGUGGCCUGGAGUUCCACAGCACUGCCCUUCAGGGGCUGGCUCCCGGAUCUCUGCCUCAGUUCUCCCAUCUGUAAAAUAAGAUGGAAAAUGGCACUUAGCGACUAAGUGGGUUUUGUUUUUUUUUUUAAGACAUCAAGGUUUAAAAUGUUUUUGUAUUCAUAAAACCUUAUUAAUGUAGUUUAUAUGACUUAACCUUAUAUUAAGUGUAAUACAGGCUUUUGCAAACAUGAAAGAGGGACAAACGUGGAAAAAUAAAUGGAUUUAUAAAUCCUAAUUCUAGAACUCAGAGAAGCCAGCAUUUUAAAAACAAUGUUCUGAAGACUUCCCUGGCAGUCCAGCGAUUAGGACUCACCAGUUUUCACUGCCGGGACCCGGGUUCAGUCCCUGGUCAGGGAACCUAAGAUCCCACAAGCCGUGAGGCACGACAAAGUACAAAUAAAUAAAUAAAAAAGC